UGGGGGAUAUUGCACAAUGGGCGAAAGCCUGAUGCAGCGACGCCGCGUGGGGGAUGAAGGCUUUCGGGUUGUAAACCUCUCUCGCUAUCGAACAAGGCCCGCUUAGGGUGGGUUGAGGGUAGGUGGAGAAGAAGCGCCGGCUAACUACGUGCCAGCAGCCGCGGUAAUACGUAGGGCGCGAGCGUUGUCCGGAAUUAUUGGGCGUAAAGGGCUUGUAGGCGGCUUGUUGCGCCUGCUGUGAAAACGCGGGGCUUAACUUCGCGCGUGCAGUGGGUACGGGCAGGCUUGAGUGUGGUAGGGGUGACUGGAAUUCCAGGUGUAGCGGUGGAAUGCGCAGAUAUCUGGAGGAACACCGAUGGCGAAGGCAGGUCACUGGGCCAUUACUGACGCUGAGGAGCGAAAGCAUGGGUAGCGAACAGG
rnacentral:rRNA from 1 species